CCUACGGGUGGCAGCAGUGAGGAAUAUUGGUCAAUGGCCGGAAGGCUGAACCAGCCAAGCCGCGUGAAGGACGAAGGUGCCAAGCAUUGUAAACUUCUUUUGUCAAGGGACAAAAUCAGGCUCGAGAGCCUGACCGAGGGUACUUGAAGAAAAAGCAUCGGCUAACUCCGUGCCAGCAGCCGCGGUAAUACGGGGGAUGCGAGCGUUAUCCGGAUUGAUUGGGUUAAAGGGGUGCGUAGGCGGACUGUUAAGUCAGCGGUAAAAGCCCGGGGCUCAACCCCGGCGAGCCGUUGAAACUGGCUGACUUGAGAGGGCGAGAGGAAAGUGGAAUGCGCAGUGUAGGGGUGAAAUGCUUAGAUAUUGCGCAGAACUCCGAUUGCGAAGGCAGCAUACCGGCGGCGAUCUGACGCUGAGGCACGAAAGCGUGGGUAUCGAACAGGAUUAGAUACCCUUGUAGUC
rnacentral:rRNA from 1 species